rnacentral:lncRNA from 1 species
GUUCCGGUUGCCGGAGAAUGCGAAGAUGGAUGAAGUUAAAGCUAGCAUGGAGAAUGGAGUGCUCACUGUGACUGUUCCCAAGGAGGAGGAGAAGAAGCCUCAGGUCAAGUCCAUUGACAUUUCCGGCUAAAGCAAUGCUGGUCAAGAAAUGCCACCUUGGUUCAAUGGCCUAAAUAAACUCUGCUGUGUUUGCGUUGUGUGUUUGUGAAAGCUUGGCAUCUGUGGAAUUCUUGUAUUAAAAAUAAAAAUAAUUGAAAUGGCAUUUUCUUAAGAUUGUGUUGCAUGUUGGCUUCUCUUGCUUUCAUUGCUUUUGUGUUUCUAGUCUGGUGAUGGUUCUUUGUGUUUGAAGUAUGAGGCUGUGCGUAUCGGUCCUUCGAGAUGGGGUCGAUGCAUGAAGACUGUUGCUAUACCUACUCUUGUGUUUAUGUUUUCUUUAGAUUUUUUUGCUGGCUCCGGUGCCUUGCUCUGGUAUUCGGCAACUGCGACAAUGUGUCGGUGAGAAGCUCUGCGAUUGUCGAUGGUCCGAUUUGAAUUUGGUUUGUUUUUAGAUUUGAUUUUAGUUUAUUUACUUGUGGUUUGAUUUUUUUUGUGUUUUGGGCUUUUCCUUUUUGUAGCCUCUUUGUGUAGCCCUAUGUAUUUUCAACAAAUGCAAUAUACUCAAUAUUAGUAAAUAAGAAGAAAAAUUAUUUUUAAUUCCUAAAAUAUAUCACAAUUAACGAAUAUAUCCCUCAAUUUUUGUAACUUAAUACUUUAGUUCAUAAAAUUUAAUUCUAUAAAAAUUUAAGUUUUCUCCCUUAAAAAUUUAUGUUAAAAUCAAUAAUUUACGUCCGAUAAAAAAAAUUAAAUAUAACACCAAAAAUAUCUUUAUUAAUAAUAAAAUAGAAAAAUUACUAUUUAAUUUCUUUAGUAUAAAACAACUCAAUAGUUAAUACUUUGAUUUUGAAAAAUACUUUAAAAUAUGUUAUUAGUCACUCCGUUAAUUCUGUAGUUAAACAUUUUACUAUUUAGUUCUUAUAAUUUUAAAAAAUUUAUUAGUUGGUCUUUCAAAUUAUUAAAAAGUUUACUAAUUAGUCAUUUCAUGUAUUUUAAAUUUGUUUAUAAUACUUAACGAUUAAAAUUAAUGAAAGGAUUAAUUAGUAGAUAUUUUAAAAUAUCAAAGACGUUUUAAUGCAUUUUCCAAACUAAGAAAUCAAUUAAUGAGUUUUUUCAUAUUAUAAAAUUUAAAUAAUAAUUUUUCCUAAUAAAAAUUCUUUUUACGAUUCUCAUUUUUCUUUUAUCUACUUUAUACCGUCUUUAUUAUUUAUGUCUAAACCAUACUCAAAACUAAUAUGUUAAAAAUUCAUUUUGCAAUAAUUGAGAGGGAAAGGGAGGAUCAGCCAAUGACACAAGUGAUUGACGAUGCAAGCAGCAAGUGAUGCAAGUGGUUGGAGAGACAAAUAGUGAGCAGAUGCAAGCAGAUGGACAUGAGAGCAAUGUGCGAUGUGAGUGGCUAGAGACAUAAACAGUGAUCGACUCGAGCAACGGAAGGUGCAUCAAGUGGCAAAUAAUGAGAACAAUUAGCGACUCGAGCAACGGGUAACUAAAGUAGCAAACAACAAGCAGUGAUUUACAGCGUCAUCACAAAAAUAAUUUAUAUUGAAUUUUAAUUUUUUAUAUUUUUAAUAAUUUAAAUUUUAUAUAUUUUUAUUUUUAUCGAAUUUAAAUAUUGUAUUUAUUAAAAUUUUUGUUUAUUAGUGGAGAUUGAAUUUCAAAUUUUUUUUUUUGAAUUUUCAGAAUUAAAGUGUUGAAUUUAAAAAAUUAGAGAGAUAAAUUUAUAAUUAUGUUAUAUUUCAGGAAUAAAAAAUAUUUUUUCUUUGAUUUUAAUUUUUAUUAUAUCUAUUGAGUUUAAAAUUUAAAUUUAUUAAAAAUUUUAUUUAUUUAUAAAAAUUAAAUUUAAAAUUUUCAAUUUAUAAUUGUGAUUUUAUUGAUUUUAUUUUUUGAGAGAUGUAUUUAUAAAUUUGUAAAAAUUAAAUUUUAAAAAUAAAGUAUUAAAUUCUAAAAAGGUAAUUCAAUUAUUUUUUUAUCUUUAUGCUAUUUUUUUAUGAAAAAAUAUUUAAUUUUAACGAAAUUAAAUUUUAGUAAAUAACCAUCCAAGUUUUGAAAAUAAAAAACUGAAUUCAUUAAUUAGGUUAUAUUUGAUAGAAGAAAAAGUAAUUUUUUCAAAAGAAUGAAAAUUUUCAAACUACCGUCCGCCUCUAAUAAGGGCUUUGUUAUAUAAAGAAGUAUACCUGGGACGGCCUAGCUAAAUAGAACUUCUCUUAUCUAACUUAAUUUGAGUUGGCUUAAUAAUUAAAAAUAAAAAAUAUAUAAUUCAUUCUAGACGCUUAAGUUGGAGCCGUUACUCCAAAUUGGAGGAGCAUAUUGUCAGGUAGGCCAGAGGUCGAUUAGGAGACGAAGAAAAGUUCAUUUUUGAAAGGCGCCGAAGGUUGGAGAAGAAACCAGGGGGUUCCAUCAUUAUCUCUUUUCAUCAUAUAAAUUUACCAUUUAAUUUUUAAAUUUUAUCACUAAUAAUGAUUUAAAAUAUCCUUAUCUUAAAAAUUGAGUUUAUACACUUAAAUUAUUACUUCUAUUUUACUAUUAGUAUAUGAUAAAUUAUCAUUAACUCUAUUUAUAUUAUAGUUACUUACAUAUUUAUUUCUUAAUUUUAUAAUUAUUUAUAAUUUUAUCGAUUAGCUUUAACUCUUUAAUAGAGAAAGAUAUAAACUAUUUAUUUGGAAUAAAAUCUUUAAGAAUCUCAAUUUUUUUAUUUUUAAUUAAAAAUUUAUUUCAUAAUUUAAUAAUUAAAUACAAAUAGCUUAAUUCUUAAUUUGUUGCUUAUAGUUAACUAAAUUUAAAUUAAAACUUGUUAAACCUGACCAAAUUUCCUAUAUAGCAUUAAUAUUUUUUUAACUAAUUAGCUGACAAGACAGGCAUAUGAAUCAAAGGCCUGGGCCAAGAAGGGACCAGACUUUUCUCGUUCAUUCUGUAAUGGGAACGAAGAAGCUAGAAUCCUCUUCACCAUCUUUAUAUAUAUAUAUAUAUAUAUAUACACCUUGCUCCUACCACUGGAACUACAUCAAAGGAGAACAAAACCCUCUUCAGCAUCCUUGCAGCGAAAUUUCCAUUCAAUUUUUCUUUCCAAAUAUGGCGUCGUCCCUCAUUCCCAGCUUCUUUGGCAGCCGCAGAAGCAAUGUGUUUGAUCCAUUUUCCUUGGACAUUUGGGAUCCUUUUGAUGGUUUCUUCACCUCUAAUCUUGCCAAUGCGCCACCCUCAGCAAGGGAAGCCUCAGCUUUCAUAAAUGCAAGAAUCGACUGGAAAGAGACCCCAGAAGCCCAUAUUUUCAAAGCAGAUCUUCCAGGGCUAAAGAAAGAAGAAGUGAAAGUUGAGGUGGAAGAAGGCAGAAUCCUCCAAAUCAGUGGAGAGAGGAGCAAAGAGCAGGAGGAGAAAAAUGAUAAGUGGCACCGCAUAGAAAGAAGCUGCGGAAAGUUCCUGAGGAGGUUCAGGUUGCCUGAGAAUGCUAAGAUAGAUCAAGUUAAAGCUAGCAUGGAGAAUGGAGUGCUCACUGUGACUGUUCCCAAGGAGGAGGAGAAGAAGCCUCAAGUCAAGUCCAUUGACAUUUCCGGCUGAGCAAUACUGCUCUAGAAAUGCCACCUUGGUUCAAAGGACUAAAUAAACUCCGGUGUGUGUGUUUGUGAUCAACCUAAUAUGUGCGUGUGUGAGAGCUUGAAAUAUGUGGAAUCCUUCUAUAAAAAAUGAAAAUAAUUGACUAGCACCUUCUUAAGAUUUCCACAAU